rnacentral:lncRNA from 1 species
CAUGCUCCCUUCAGGGCUCUGAGAUGAAGAUUUGGGGAUUCAGGUGUAAAGAUUGUUGCUUCCAGCUCUCCUUUGGACGUACAAAAUUGGCUUCUCCUGAACUGCGUUUGAAACCUCUGCUUUUUUUUUUUUUUUUCCCUGCAUUAAUUUGUUAAAGCUUCGACCACUGCUUACUAACUUCACAUGCUUUCUGUUUUCUGUUCCUGGUUUAAUACAGCAUCCUGAAGAAAGCAAUGAGGAUCUUAUUUGAAAACAGCAUUUUUACAUCCUUGAAGGGUCUGAACUGGAAAAAGGGAUCCAAUUCCAGCAGAGCAUUGAGGUUGCUCUCAGUCCAGCCCCCACACUCUGGAUCUUCAUGACUUUGAUCUUGUUUGUGUUGUCCUCAAGUCCUGUGAAGUGCAAGAGCAAUACUCCACACACUCCAGGCUGAUGUGUCUUGUAGUGUUUCCUCUCACUGGAAGAGUGGAAGUGAAAUGAAGGCAUCGUGGAAAUCAGAAAGGUCAGAGCAGGGCAAGAAAACUCAUGGCAAGAGGAGACAGGAAACAGAAAAGAGCAAGGGACAUCCCAAGGACAGGAGGGGGAUGUUAUUGCUGCUGUCUUCAUCACUGACCUCUUCACUGUGCUUCGGAGAAGAACAGGAACUGUGCUGUUUAAUAAUUGCACCAGGAGAUACAACUGUAAAAAACACUGUUGAUAAAAUUUGCAAAUGUCAAGGUCAGUAGCUAAAGGAGAGGGGGUCCUUCUCAUGAGCACGAGUCACCUGGCCAGGUGAACAUCCUCAGCCAAGACAGGAUGCUCAGGGCUGUCAGUAGAGUCUCUUCAGGUCCUGCACCACCAGGCUCCCUCAAUGCUGUUCAUCCUUGAAUCCCUCUGAAUUGUCUGACCUGUGGGAACACCUCAGAGUGACCAGGGGCAGAGUGUAACUGCUGGAGGAAGCAGUUUUUGCUCAUAUCCUUUCCUCUUCGCUCUUGGCGCUGCUGUUCUGGCUCAGGACUGACGGAAGCUUUGUGAACGGCCCGCUGGGCUCGGACAGCCCGGACACGCCCAGGCGGGUGUGUGACCGCUGGCUGCUGUGCAGACAGGGAGGAAGGACAGGCUGCCAAGAGCAGGAGCCUCGCUGGCAGCCCCCGGAGAAGUCACCGUCACCUGUGACCGACAGCGCGGAGCUGAAAGCGUAGCAGAGCCCGCAGCUGCAGCACCCACCCACGGAGCAGCCGCCCACACGGCUCCUCAUUAUCCUGAAAGACUGGAGAGGGUCCAGGGCAAAACGACAGGAGCAAUUAGGAAGGUCAGACAACGCCUGACAGGGGACACUCUGAGCCAUUACUGUGGUCUGGCUAAACCAGAAUCUCUCAGUCACAGCACAGAAAACACGGAGUGCUGGUGGCACCAUUACCUGCAGAGAAGGGCACGGUGAGAAUCAACCCCUGCGAGUUUUAUGUAGGCAGGUUCAGAGCAGAUAAGACAUCACACCCCCAGUAGUGAGGGUGACUGCCCUAGCUAGCAGGCAGUCAGAGG